GGAAAAAAAAAAUGUGGGAAAAAGAAAAAAAAGAAAAAAAAAGAAAAAACAGAAACCACUUGCGGUUUCGGCUCCCUCGCUGCAUCCCAAACCUUCCUUCGUCGGCGAGGAAGAAGACGCCAUUAAAGUUCCAAAAAAAAGCUUCAUCACAUCACAUGUAAAUUACACGGAGGGAAUCAUCUCCCUUUCCCCCUCUCUCUUGGAAUUCGUGGCGAAAUUGGGGCCCCUCUCGAUUUAUAAUGCGCUGGUGCUUCUCGUUGCUUGGAUCGCGGAUUCGAUCGUUCCUGCGUGAUUACGAUAGCCUCCAAUCGCUCGCUGUCUCCCUCAUCUACAUCCAAAUUGGUUGUGCCCUAAUUGGGUCACUGGGGGCCCUGUUCAAUGGGAUUCUACUGAUAAAUCUGGUUGUGGCCCUCUUUGCCCUAGUGGCGAUCGAGAGCAGUAGCCAGCGCCUUGGGAGGACAUAUGCCGUGCUCCUCUUCUGCGCGAUUCUACUCGAUAUCGCGUGGUUCAUACUCUUCUUGGGAACAAUAUGGAACAUUACUCCUGAUGAGAAGUAUGGGUCGCUCUUUGUUUUCUCACUCAGGCUUGCUUUGUGGAUGCAAAUUAUUGGGUUUUCUGUGAGAUUUUUUUCAUCGUUUUUAUGGAUUCAGAUGUAUAGAUUGGGGGUUUCAUCCGAUUGUGGAGCUUAUCAUGAGGCAGAUUAUGAUGCAAGAAAUAGUUUCUUAAAUCCCUCAAGUCAUGUAGUUGGAAGGCAGAACUCCCUUACUGAUGACAUCUUAGGGGGUUCCAUCUAUGAUCCAGCUUAUUACUCUUCUCUUUUUGAAGAUGUUCGAGAUAACAGGUUCAUUCAUGAGGGCAGAAACAACUUAGCUACUUUUUCAGGGCGACAAACAAAUUAUUGGUCAUGAUGGGGGGUCUACAUCGACAGUUGAAUCUCCUCAACUUAAAUCAUGUGUCGGUAGAUCUUUUCAGGUCAAUGAUAGAAUGAUGCCGCAGUGAACAAGGUUCCUGAAAUAUGGAUUACAGGGAGGGAAAAGUUUACUGAGCAUGACUUUAUUAGUAUAGACUAGCAUACAGGGUUUUCUCACGACUUGCGCCAUGAGGGUGCAUAUUACAAAGAUUACUCGUCAGAUGAAGUGAUACCCUCCAUUUUCUGGUCGAGAAAGCAUUAAGAAAGCCCCUGAACUCAUAAUCUGAUGUAUGAUAUUUUUAAGCUCCACUUCGGCCAUUCUUUGUAGGGUUAUGAGCUCUGUGCAGCUCCUAAUCUUAUUCUUCAGCAGAUAGGGAUUCCCAAUUUGCUAUCUGUGGCAAGUUUAAGUUCGUCAUGAUCGAGGUUACAUUGACAAAUUCUUGCCACAUGGAGGAUGCUUUUGUCGGAGAUUGCUCGAUUUCGACUACGGAGCUCCAGGAGUUUUGGUUGUUCCCAGCGGGGGCUUUGAUCGCGGUAUCUUUGAAGCACUUGGAAUCUUCAUGGUGGUAAUAUAACAAGGAUUCGGAAGAACCUAUUGUUACUGGGUUAAAGCUAGAUUAGAAAUCCAAACAUUUACUUGAUUUUGGACCCUGUUCAAAGUUCUCUUCAUUUCUGCAAUUGGCAAUGAACUGCUUUUACGGGUGAUAGAAAUCGAAAUUUUUUUGAUCUUUCUCGAGUU